GCCUGUGUGGUAUAGUGGUUUAAGUUUGGACUACAACUCUGAAAAGCAAGAUUCAAAUCCCUGCUCGGCCA